GCCGGGCAUGGUGGUGCAUGCCUGUAAUCCCAGCUACUCAGGAGGCUGAGGCAGGAGAAUCGCUUGAACCCGGGAGGUGGAGGCUUCAGUGACCUGAGAUUGUGCCAUUGCACUCCAGCCUGGGCAACAAGAGUGAAACUCCAUCUCAAAAAAAAAAAAAAAAAAAAAGCCAGGUGUGGUCACGUGCACCUGUAGUUCCAGAAACUCUGGGGGCUGAGGUGGAAAGAUCACUUGAGCCCAAAAGGUAGAGGCUGCAGUGAGGCAUGAACACACAAUUGCACUCUAGCCUGGGUGACAAAGCAAGACCCUGUCUUGA
rnacentral:SRP_RNA from 1 species